rnacentral:rRNA from 1 species
UACCAGCACCCCGAGUGGUCGGGACGAUUAUUGGGCCUAAAGCAUCCGUAGCCGGUUCUACAAGUCUUCCGUUAAAUCCACCUGCUUAACAGAUGGGCUGCGGAGGAUACUAUAGAGCUAGGAGGCGGGAGAGGCAAGCGGUACUUAGUGGGUAGGGGUAAAAUCCGUUGAUCCAUUGAAGACCACCAGUGGCGAAGGCGGCUUGCCAGAAC